GGUGAGUAAUACUUAGGAAUCUGCCUAUUAGUGGGGGACAACGUUUCGAAAGGAACGCUAAUACCGCAUACGCCCUACGGGGGAAAGCAGGGGAUCACUUGUGACCUUGCGCUAAUAGAUGAGCCUAAGUCGGAUUAGCUAGUUGGUGGGGUAAAGGCCUACCAAGGCGACGAUCUGUAGCGGGUCUGAGAGGAUGAUCCGCCACACUGGGACUGAGACACGGCCCAGACUCCUACGGGAGGCAGCAGUGGGGAAUAUUGGACAAUGGGGGGAACCCUGAUCCAGCCAUGCCGCGUGUGUGAAGAAGGCCUUAUGGUUGUAAAGCACUUUAAGCGAGGAGGAGGGUACCUUGGUUAAUACCCAAGAGUAUCGGACGUUACUCGCAGAAUAAGCACCGGCUAACUCUGUGCCAGCAGCCGCGGUAAUACAGAGGGUGCAAGCGUUAAUCGGAUUUACUGGGCGUAAAGCGUGCGUAGGCGGCUAAUUAAGUCGGAUGUGAAAUCCCCGAGCUCAACUUGGGAAUUGCAUUCGAUACUGGUUAGCUAGAGUAUGGGAGAGGAUGGUAGAAUUCCAGGUGUAGCGGUGAAAUGCGUAGAGAUCUGGAGGAAUACCGAUGGCGAAGGCAGCCAUCUGGCCUAAUACUGACGCUGAGGUACGAAAGCAUGGGGAGCAAACAGGAUUAGAUACCCUGGUAGUCCAUGCCGUAAACGAUGUCUACUAGCCGUUGGGGCCUUUGAGGCUUUAGUGGCGCAGCUAACGCGAUAAGUAGACCGCCUGGGGAGUACGGUCGCAAGACUAAAACUCAAAUGAAUUGACGGGGGCCCGCACAAGCGGUGGAGCAUGUGGUUUAAUUCGAUGCAACGCGAAGAACCUUACCUGGUCUUGACAUAGUAAGAACUUUCCAGAGAUGGAUUGGUGCCUUCGGGAACUUACAUACAGGUGCUGCAUGGCUGUCGUCAGCUCGUGUCGUGAGAUGUUGGGUUAAGUCCCGCAACGAGCGCAACCCUUUUCCUUAUUUGCCAGCGGGUUAAGCCGGGAACUUUAAGGAUACUGCCAGUGACAAACUGGAGGAAGGCGGGGACGACGUCAAGUCAUCAUGGCCCUUACGACCAGGGCUACACACGUGCUACAAUGGUCGGUACAAAGGGUUGCUACAUAGCGAUAUGAUGCUAAUCUCAAAAAGCCGAUCGUAGUCCGGAUUGGAGUCU
rnacentral:rRNA from 1 species